UGCUAGAUUAAUGUCUAAAGCUUGAUGACUUC
rnacentral:piRNA from 1 species